AGCCUUCUGUAACUGUGCUGAGAUUUCGUCACACAUCAGACCACAAGGGCUGAUGAGACUCACAAGAUAAGUGAAGCG
rfam:Schistosoma mansoni, Puerto Rico, WGS project CABG01000000 data, contig: 0204